CUGACAUCAUUAGAAGUGGUAGCCUGAUCCAAUCACAAUGCUUCCCCAUAGGAUUGGCUGAGACUGACAAAGAGGCAGAUCAGGGGCAAGGCCAGCAUGAUUCAAACACAGCCCUGGCCAAUCAGCAUCUCCUCGUAGAGAUGAAUUGAAUCAAUGAAUCUCUAUGAGGAAAGUUCAGUGUCUGCAUGCAGAGGGCGGAGA
rnacentral:lncRNA from 1 species